UGCCAAGAAGAAGAAGAAACAUCCGGUUAAGGAAGCGCUUCCUUGGAAACAAGAAGCGCUUCUAAUCACACAGGAGGUAGGACAGUUAAGUAAUGCAGUUACAUAUGAACUGUUGAAUGUCGCCUAAAUAAUGACAGACUAUAACGUAAACUGUCAGGAAAGGCAGCGAGAUGAAACUAUGGCGCAUCUUUGUGUGCAGUUUGUAGUUUUAGCUUCUUCUUAGCUUUAGCCACUUGCUAGUCAACGUUAGUGUCUGUAAUGCGGGAUAAAUGGUGCCCUGAAUGGGUCAGGUGCUGUGACAACGUAAACAUGUGACAUUACAUAACGAAUUAUACCCAGAAAGAAAGUACCUGUUUAAAAAUGUGGAAACGAUGCAGCCGAAGCUCCGCUCUGGACCGAGCACAGGCGCUGCUGUCCGCCGAGAGGAGCAGCAGAAGAGACGCUCAGGGCUCCGGGCAGGAGUCCGCAGCCAAAACACAGGUUUCUGUAGGUGAAUCUUUCAAAAGCAGAUCUGCUCCCCAAAAAACACAGAAUUUAUUCUCAGCUCUGAGUGACUUGUCCUCACUCAGCUCAGUCUCUGAGUCUGGAAGUGAUGCUGUUAAAGUUCCUGAUGCUGAAAAGAACUAUGGAAGAGAGUUGGAUUCAAAGAAGGAUCUCAGGCCGCAGAGCUCUCUGGGAGGAGGAAGCAGGUUCUUGAAGAAGGCUCCAGCACCAACAAAGAGCAGCCAGUCUCCUGUCAGCAGGAACCAAAUGCACCCUGAAUCCGAAUCAAGAUAUGUGUCAUCUUCGCGGCGUGCCUCUCAGACUCCAGCCUUGACUAAACUGGCUGAAAUCGAGAGCCGCAUCCACGAGCAGGCGCAGGAACAGGCCAGACAGGAGACCGAACCUGCUCUCGGUCUGACUUUGGAUUUGGGAAUCUCAUCACCACUGCCAGCAAGAGUCACCCAAACCUCAGAGGCGUCUGUGCAGCCCAGCAGUGACCAGAGCCUGAGGGGAAACCGUUUCCUUAGGAAGAAAGCAGCUGGAGCAGUUGAAGACACUCGUACGUCUCCUACUGUGGCUCCAAAAAGUGUCGAUGUUCGUGUGAGAGCCAGGUCCAGAGCUGCAGCAUCUACAGAGGGUUUGGAGAGAAAUUCAGUGAGACUAACGAGUGGUGUCAGUCUAGAGAGUGUUGAAGAAGACAUGAGGAAGCUGCUCGGAGACUCGAUGGACUCAACAGACUACAGCUUCUUAAGACCUGGGAGACCUUCCUCCAUGAAAAAGCCAGAUAAGGGAUUCGCCGAUCAUCAAGUUCACCCCACUCCACCUGCUGAAGUUCUUCCUUCGCCGCCCUCCAACACAGCACCACCUCGCUCCCCUGCUUCUGCUCCUCGCUGCAGCUCUCCUUUCCGGUUCACCGGUCAUGCUCGGGUCCGCUUCAGCCCCUCUGCGCUCUCUCCUUCGCCCUCUCCUCCCCGUGCCUCCCCUUCUCCUCCAGAAAGUCCACAGCGUUCCCUGUCCUCUGCCUCAGGCCACGGUGAAGUGCUCUCUUUGGAGGAGCUUUUCCCUGUGGACUCUGGAUCUGAGCGUCCGCACAGCGAGAUGAGUUCAGUUUCUUCUGAAGACUUCAAGAUUAACGUGAUGACGCUGGAUGAUCUGGCGCCUGCUCGCCUGGGAUUUACUGCAGAAACACCAGAAGAGCCCAUACAGAGAGAAGCCAAACAGGGUUCUCCUGCUCCAGCAUCCUCAGACGGGAACCAGCAGCUGCAGGAGGAGCUGCUCGAUUACCAAAGUGACUUCGAGAGUGACAGCAGAACCGAGCCCGACGAUUAUAGUGCCAAUCAGGUUUCAGAGCACCUGCAAAAAACUGGAGGUGAAGAGCAGGUGGUGUCAGAGGUCAGAGGCGAGGUUUUGGAUUCUGACGUGCCUCACGAGAGGACAGAAGACGAUUAUUCGAGCGCUUUCUCAGGCACUAGUCAGGCCUCCGCCUCACAGACCUCAGAUCGCAGCCGCACUCUGAAGCCGUACAGCCAAAGCACAAGUGAGGACUCCAAGUCCUCGUUAUCACACGAGAGUCGGACUUCAUCUCAGCAGUCGAGGAGGCGUCCUUCAGCCAGAAAGGUUUUAAAAGAGGCAGCAGUGCAGACCCACCCGGAUCCACUGGCUUCCACAUGGCCAACAGGUGUUUCCACUGUGGACCCUGCAGUGGGCAUGACCUACAUGAAUCUCUCUCCAGUGGUCACUCAUACCAUCAGUGCAGAAAUGGUGGAAGCACUCAGCACCUUCAAUCCAGCUGUAUUCGCUCUGAACGAACUGCUAAAGCAGCAGCUCGCCAUGACGAGGCGGUUCAUUGAAAGCAGUCGCCGCCUGCACUCCAGCCUGGUGCGGAGCCUGGAACCACCUAACUACAGAUAUACCACCCUGGAGGACACCAAGAAGGCAUUUAUCUCUGCAUGAGGCUAAAGUUUUUAUUCCUGAGUGCCUGCACCAGCUGUGAUGCAGCUGCGGUCUUUUAUCCGCAAACACACAUGAAGCAGCUUCGGAGGUGCCGGAGGUCAGAGACGACCACCGUAUGUGACGGCAAAGAGCAUUUCAUUCUUUUUAAAGAUUUAUUUGUAUACAUAUUUGAAAACUUUUUUUUACUAAGGUAAUAGUCAUAAAAUAUUUGUACUUUAGAGAGACUGAAACCUUGUGGAUGAGUGAGGCCGUUAUGUGGACCACAUGAAAACAUUGAGAGAUUCUUCAAUAAAAUUAAAGCCUGUCA